rnacentral:lncRNA from 1 species
CACAGGACUUGCUUGUGAAAUGUCUCUGCACAUAAACCAGAGCUCUUUCACCUACAUUUCUCUCUCCAAAGAACAAUACUACUUGCGCUACAAGUUGUGUAACUGAAUACUGGAGCACUAAAAAAAGUGCUCUCAAACCGUAUGAAAUUCAGGGAGGUUUUUUUCUUUCCAGUACUCCAUUUUCAUAUGAAAAGGCUCUCUCUCUUUACAGGAUGGUCAGCAAGCACAAGCACUGAAGGGCCUGGUCUUUCAUCAGCGUCUGCAAGAGCAGAAGAGCCCUGAGACUCUGUGUGAGUACAGUGCAUUGCCUUUUGCUUCCUUUUACUGCUGUUUUAUGAAACAGAAGGAAGAGACAAUGUGAGCUUUUGUACAAAAGUGAGGUGACCUUUCCAAGUUACAUGUGGGAUCUGCUGCUGUUUCUAUAGAGACCAAACGCAUUAACCUGAGUCAAGUGGGAAUGCCUGAGGCUCAUUGAAAGGGAUAUCGUUUCUCAGAGAAAGCUGGAAGAUUUAAGUAAAAGGCUUGAUUCAUGUGUUUUACUUUUUAAACAAAGGGAAGCUGCAUUUAAACUUCCUCAAUUGGAUGUCUGAGCAAAGACAAACAUUUUGUAUCUGAUUUCAGCUUCCAAUUUCCAACUUGCAACAGUCCUACCAAAAAGCUGUCCUACUUUAGGGCCCCAAAUGCUUCUUUGGCUGAAUAAGACUGUACAAGAACUAGGUUUAGACUGGUGAAAUAUGCUUCUUGUUCAGUCACAGAGACUGCAAAAAUACUUUUAGAUGCUGCUUAGUUUGUCCAUCCUACAUCCAAAAACUCAUAAACUGAAAUAAAAUCUCCCCUCAAAGCA